rnacentral:misc_RNA from 1 species
GAUGAAGAACGUAGUGAAAUGCGAUAAGUAAUGUGAAUUGCAGAAUUCAGUGAAUCAUCGAAUCUUUGAACGCACAUUGCGCCCGUCAGUAUUCUGGCGGGCAUGCCUGUUCGAGCGUCAUUACGCCCCUCAAGUCCCCUGUGGACUUGGUGUUGGGGAUCGGCGAGGCUGGUUUUCCAGCACAGCCGUCCCUUAAAUUAAUUGGCGGUCUCGCCGUGGCCCUCCUCUGCGCAGUAGUAAAACACUCGCAACAGGAGCCCGGCGCGGUCCACUGCCGUAAAACCCCCCAACUUUUUAUAGUUGACCUCGAAUCAGGUAGGACUACCCGCUGAACUUAAGCAUAUCAAUAAGCGGACGA